CAGAUGUGAAAGCCCGGGGCUCAACCUCGGAAUUGCAUUUGAAACUGGCAGACUAGAGUACUGUAGAGGGGGGUAGAAUUUCAGGUGUAGCGGUGAAAUGCGUAGAGAUCUGAAGGAAUACCGGUGGCGAAGGCGGCCCCCUGGACAGAUACUGACACUCAGAUGCGAAAGCGUGGGGAGCAAACAGGAUUAGAUACCCUGGUAGUCCACGC
rnacentral:rRNA from 1 species